GAUGAACGCUGACAGAAUGCUUAACACAUGCAAGUCGAUGGGGAAGUGGUGCUUGCACCAUGGCAACCAUGGCGGACGGGUGAGUAACGCGUAAGGGACUUACCUGCAGGACUGGGAUAACAGGGGAAAACUCCUGACAAGACCGGAUAAUGUCAUGGAGCUGCAUGGCUUUAUGAUGAAAGGAGACGCCUGCGGAGAGCCUUGCGUCCUAUUAGCUAGUUGGUGAGGUAAUGGCUCACCAAGGCGAAGAUAGGUAGCCGGCCUGAGAGGGUGGACGGCCACAAGGGGACUGAGAUACGGCCCUUACUCCUACGGGAGGCAGCAGUGGGGAAUAUUGGACAAUGGGGGCAACCCUGAUCCAGCAAUUCUGUGUGCACGAAGAAGGUUUUCGGAUUGUAAAGUGCUUUCAGCAGGGAAGAAGUAAGUGACGGUACCUGCAGAAGAAGCGACGGCUAAAUACGUG
rnacentral:rRNA from 1 species